rnacentral:rRNA from 1 species
GGCGAACGGGUGAGUAACGCGUGAGCAAUCUACCUUAGUUACAGGGAUAGCCCGAGGAAACUCGGAUUAAUACCUGAUAUUCUUUAUUUCUCGCAUGAGAAUAAAAGGAAAGGUCAGCCGAACUAAGAUGAGCUCGCGUUCUAUCAGCUAGUUGGUGAGGUAAAAGCUCACCAAGGCUACGACGGAUAGCUGGUCUGAGAGGACGAUCAGCCACACUGGGACUGAGACACGGCCCAGACUCCUACGGGAGGCUGCAGCAGGGAAUAUUGUGCAAUGAACGAAAGUUUGACACAGCGACACCGCGUGUGGGAUGACGGAUCUAGGUUUGUAAACCACUUUCAGGAGGGAAGAAAAUGACGGUACCUCCACAAGAAGCCCCGGCCAACUACGUGCCAGCAGCCGCGGUAAUACGUAGGGGGCGAGCGUUGUCCGGAUUUAUUGGGCGUAAAGAGCUC